ensembl:lncRNA
UAGAUAUGAGCACUUUAUCUUAAAAGAAUCCAUUUCAAGUGUGGUAGUCUUAUUUUAAGCAAUAGUGUCAAGUUGAAAACGUCUCAUUUCAAGCAGAAAUUCACUUGUUAUUUUCUUAUUGCAUUAAAGGUCAUAAUUCAAGUUAUUUUUAACUAGAAAUGAGUUUUAACAACCACUUAAUUGCAUUAAGUAGUAAACGUGACCUAAAUCACUUAAAAAACACAGUCAAAUAUACUUGCGAUACUUGUGGAUUACCACUGAUCACAAGAUGCUCAGUCAGAAAUGUUGUCAUAAACCACAAGUUUUCCUCAAACUCGGUGGCAGGAUCGAAUUCACUCGAACGCACCCAACUCAAAUGUCGCUUGAGCUGCAUGCCAGUGAUGUGAACUGAAGCAAGUACAAGAGCUGUGCCUUUCGACUUCAAAAGCUAAAGAUGGAGCAAUUGGACAAGACAACACAGUCGCUUCUGGAAGCUGCACAGGCCAUUGCCUUGUUGGAGGCGCUCCCAAAAAUGUUCCCUUACCCAACCGCCCCUCCAAGAAAAGUCGGCAAGUGAGGCACUGUACCAUGUUCUUGAGCCAUCUGAGGACGCCAAUGUCUUCUUGCGUAACUGAUGACCUUGCCAAGGGACAUGCUUCUGGAAUCCCUCAUGAUACUGAUGGGAUGCUACUAUGUGUUCCAGUUAACAUAUUCCAAGUGUAUUGCUAGGCUAUUGUCCAUAAUACAAACAGAUUUUAUUCACGAGAGUGACAAGACGACAACAUAUAAAAAGGUGCUUGCUGACUGUCAAGCAUUCAUCCAAACCUAGUCUGUCUCUCCCUCUCUCUUUGUCAACCUCCUACUGUAUGUCACUCUU